rnacentral:rRNA from 1 species
AGCUGGCGACCGGCGCACGGGUGAGUAACACGUAUCCAACCUGCCUCAUACUCGGGGAUAGCCUUUCGAAAGAAAGAUUAAUAUCCGAUAGCAUAUAUUUCCCGCAUGGGUUUUAUAUUAAAGAAAUUCGGUAUGAGAUGGGGAUGCGUUCCAUUAGUUUGUUGGGGGGGUAACGGCCCACCAAGACUACGAUGGAUAGGGGUUCUGAGAGGAAGGUCCCCCACAUUGGAACUGAGACACGGUCCAA